GCUCAGAAGCAUUCAACAUCUAAAGACGAGCAGUAGAUCACACUGAACAUCGUGCGCAGAACCCAAGGAGUUUCGGAAAACUUCUGGAAGUCUGGUCAUGUUCGUUCAUGCUUUGGUGGAACUCCCAAAAUUGAUGUUUGACAAAUUUAUGGCACAAGGAACAAGUUGUACAAGGAUGAUAAAAUCCAAGCUGCGUUGGUCAACCACUCGAAAUUCAGAAAAAAAUUUUUAUUCAAGUGAUUGCGAUUUUUGUAGUGA